CCUCCUUCGCGAAUAAUCAGUCCGCCAUUUCCUUCCUUCGCGAAAUUUUCAGACCUUUAAUUCAUUCCAUCUCCAUGUCGCAUUUCAGCCGCCGCCGCCGCUCACUGCUGAAAAACGUUGGUCGGAAAGUGGAUCUCCAUUUCCCUAUUCAGACUCCAUCGCCGCCGCACCCGCUACUCAGACUCCAUCGGUUUUCUCGUUGCUUGUUUCUCGUCUCCGUCGCCGUCGUUGCUGUUUCUCGUCGCCCGUGCCUUACCUGCUACAGGUAAUUAUAUAUAGACUCAUAACAAGAGGAACUAUCGAAGAAAGGAUGGUGCAGAUGACUAAGAAGAAAAUGGUUUUAGAGCAUCUAGUUGUUGGGAGGCUCAAGGCUCAAAAUAUCAACCAGGAAGAACUUGACAAUAUCAUUAGGUAUGGGUCAAAGGAGUUAUUUGCUGAUGACAAUGAUGAAACAGGAAAAUCCAGACAAAUUCAUUAUGAUAAUCCAAAAUCAAUCCCGGGUAUCUUCGUUUGAUCUGAUUGUCAAUGAUGUUAGGAAAUUAGCUAGAGCAUUUUCUAUUCUUUGUUUUUGUUUAAACGAUUUGCGAAUAGGAUUACCCAUAGCUAGAGAGACUUUAUCCAAGUCAGAUUGCAACAGAUCAGCAUAUAUGAUGGCUUUUUUGUUUUUGUUCUUUUUUUUUUUUUUUUUUUUUUGUUUUUAAAAUGCGUUCCAAUAUUUUUUUGUUUUAGUGAAUUGAUGGAACAUUGAGACUAUCCAACCAUUAUAUUUUUUUUUAUGUUUUAAUGAGAAUAAUAUUUUUAGACA